AGUGAACGCUGGCGGCAGGCCUAAUACAUGCAAGUCGAACGGCAGCACAGUGGAGCUUGCUCCAUGGGUGGCGAGUGGCGGACGGGGUGAGGAAUACAUGGGAAUCUGCCCAGUCGUGGGGGAUAACGUAUGGAAACGUACGCUAAUACCGCAUGCGCCCUUCGGGGAAAGUCGGGGACCGCAAGGCCUGACGCGAUUGGAUGAGCCCAUGUUCGAUUAGCUAGUUGGCGGGUAACGGCCCACCAAGGCGACGAUCGAUAGCUGGUCUGAGAGGAUGAUCAGCCACACUGGAACUGAGACACGGUCCAGACUCCUACGGGAGGCAGCAGUAGGGAAUAUUGGACAAUGGGCGCAAGCCUGAUCCAGCCAUGCCGCGUGAGUGAAGAAGGCCCUCGGGGUUGUAAAGCUCUUUUGUGGGUAAGAAAAGCAGUUGGUUAAUACCCGAUUGUUCUGACGGUACCCAAAGAAUAAGCACCGGCUAACUUCGUGCCAGCAGCCGAC
rnacentral:rRNA from 1 species